CCGCCAUGUUGGCUUCACUUUUUGAGCUCGAGUCAGCCUUCCAUAUGUUAGUUCAGUUCUGCAGUGUUUACAACGGCCAGUUCCAGCUCUGUAUGUGUCUACUCUGUGUCACUGAUCUCAAAGUUUGACCUGAAGUGUUACAUUUCCAAAUUCUAUUAAGCCUGGUUCACAUUACAUAUAUGCCUGCGACGUGCCGGCGACGAUGCCGGUGGUAGCUUAAAACGUAAAUUAUGUGAAUAUUUGUUCGCCGAUUGCCUCCAGUGCCACAGUUACAUCGGCGGUAGGCCGGGAAAGUUGACUUGAGUUCAACUUUACCGGUAUUUCGGCGGCAAGUAGAGGCAUAAUGAUACAGUCGCAGGCAUACCGCAGGCAUAUG